rnacentral:lncRNA from 1 species
UCAGAUAGUUGUAGAUAUGCGGCGUUAUUUCUGAGGGCUCUGUUCUGUUCCAUUGAUCUAUAUCUCUGUUUUGGUACCAGUACCAUGCUGUUUUGGUUACUGUAGGCUUGUAGUAUAGUUUGAAGUCAGGUAGUGUGAUGCCUCCAGCUUUGUUCUUUUGGCUUAGGAUUGACUUGGUGAUGCGGGCUCUUUUUUGGUUCUAUAUGAACUUUAAAGUAGUUUUUUCCAAUUCUGUGAAGAAAGUCAUUGGUAGCUUGAUGGGGAUGGCAUUGAAUCUAUAAAUUACCUUGGGCAGUAUGGCCAUUUUCACGAUAUUGAUUCUUCCUACUCAUGAGCAUGGAAUGUUCUUCCAUUUGUUUGUAUCCUCUUUUAUUUCAGCAAGGCCGGUGGACCCCGCCCCGCCCCUUUGCGGGUACGGGGGGGCGCCAGGGGCCUCCCACUUAUUCUACACCUCUCAUGUCUCUUCACCAUGCCAGACUAGAGUCAAGCUCAACAGGGUCUUCUUUCCCCGCUGAUUCCGCCAAGCCCGUUCCCUUGGCUGUGGUUUCGCUGGAUAGUAGGUAGGGACAGUGGGAAUCUCGUUCAUCCAUUCAUGCGCGUCACUAAUUAGAUGACGAGGCAUUUGGCUACCUUAAGAGAGUCAUAGUUACUCCCACCAUUUACCUGUGCUUCAUUGAAUUUCUUCAAUUUGACAUUCAGAGCACUGGGCAGAAAUCACAUCGCGUCAACACCCGCCGCGGGCCUUUGUGGAAUGGUGCUAAAAUAUUUAAACAAUGGAGAAAAAACUCUUAAGUAGAUUAAGCUACCCAUGAGACACAGGCAAGGAGAUGAAUGGUUUGAAUGAUAUAAUUGAAGGAUUUAGGAAUGACAUGGCCAGAAAUGCCAGUCAACUGGGAGGGCUGGUCAACUAUCUAAAGACACCAUGUUGUCCUACGGUAAAAUCAAGUGUGGUGAAGAGGAAGCUGAGUUGUGCAUGUGGCAAAGGUCUGAAUUAACAGACUGUAUUUAUUUAAUUUCUAUAGUCUGAAUACGAUGGGGCAAUAAAGCUAUAUUCAGAGAAGAUACUUUAGGGAAAUAUUUCGGAGCUGGGUGGAACUGAGUGAAUCAUCCUGUCCAACAGUCUCGGCCAAGAGCAGAAAACUGAGAAAACUCUUCCUGGUCAUUUGGUAGCUCAAGAAUCACCCCUGGAGAAGUUUCAGCUCAGUAGCUCAAGUCACAAACCCAGAUAAUAUAAUAGAUUUUGCUUUAAGUUCAAAAAGAUGACAAUUGAUAAAUGAAAGAUAGUCAUAGACAGUAAGUAAGUACUAAGUGAUUCAUCAGCACAUAGCACUGGUUAAAAAGUCUUUAUACAGACAUCAGACUUAACCCCAUUUAAAAAAUUAUUUGAAGAAAAGGCAGAGUGAGGGGCAAUAACUCACAUUACACAAUGGAUUUAUGUAAAGCAUCACUUAACCAAAGUUUUCAUGGUCAAUGCCAGCUCUUUCGGGUCCAAGGUGAUUAGGACACACCUGUAUGAAGUACAGUCUGGCAGCCACAGAGAGGAAGCAAAACACAUUUCUUAAUUAAAACUGGAGGAAAAUUGUGAGUGCUGGGAAUGUAAUUAUGUGAGUUGGAAAUGGGCCAGGAUUUUGCUAGAGCUCUCACGAUCUUUCAAAAUGAAAACUCAUCAGAUUUUUAAGUCUGAAGUUUCUGUUUUAUUUUACGGUGGUUAGAAUACCUAACAUGAAAUCUACCUUCUUAACAAAGUUUUAAGUGUACAAUACAGUAUUGUUGACUCUAGACAUGAUGUUGAACACCAGAUCCCUAGAGCUUAUUCAUCUUGCUUGAUUAAAACUAUAUGGCUCCUGAUUAGUAACAACCCUUUUCCCAAUCGCCCCAGCCUUGAUGACCACCAUUCUAGCUCUUUGAGUCUAUGAACUUGACUCUUUUAGAUACCUCAUGUAAGUGAAAUCUGUGACCAGCUUUUUUCACUCAGCAUGAUGUCCUCAAGGUUCAUCUAUGUUGUUGCAUAUUGCAGAAUUUCCUUCUUUUUUAAGGCUGAAUAGUGUUCCAUUGUAUGUAUAUAGUCAUGUGUCACUUAAUGACAGGGACACAUUCUGAGAAAUGCAUCAUCAGGUGGUUUCAUCACUGUACAAAUGUCAUAGAAUGCACUUACACAAACCUAAGUGGUCUAGCCUACUAUACUCCUAGGCUAUACAGUAUAGACUAUUGCUCCUGGGCUACAAACCUGUACGGCAUAUUUGUGUACUGAAUACCAUAGGCAAUUACAACACAAUGGCAAGGAGUUGUGUGUCUAAACAUAGGAAAAGUACAAUAAAAAUAAAGUAUAAGGCCGGACGCGGUGGCUCACGCCUGUAAUCCCAGCACUUUGGGAGGCCGAGGCGGGCAGAUCAUUUGAGGUCAGGAGUUCGAG